rnacentral:rRNA from 1 species
UUCGGCCCCUAGUGGCGGACGGGUGAGUAACGCGUAGGUAUCUAUCCUGGGGUGGGGGAUAACAGUGGGAAACUGCUGCUAAUACCGCAUGACACCUGAGGGUCAAAGGCGCGAGUCGCCUUAGGAGGAGCCUGCGUCCGAUUAGCUAGUUGGUGGGGUAACUGCCUACCAAGGCGACGAUCGGUAGCUGGUCUGAGAGGAUGAUCAGCCACAUUGGGACUGAGACACGGCCCAAACUCCUACGGGAGGCAGCAGUGGGGAAUAUUGGACAAUGGGCGAAAGCCUGAUCCAGCAAUGCCGCGUGGAUGAAGAAGGUCUUCGGAUUGUAAAGUCCUUUCGACGGGGACGAUGAUGACGGUACCCGUAGAAGAAGCCCCGGCUAACUUCGUGCCAGCAGCCGCGGUAAUACGAAGGGGGCUAGCGUUGCUCGGAAUGACUGGGCGUAAAGGGCGCAUAGGCGGUUUGAUUAGUUAGGCGUGAAAUUCCUGGGCUCAACCUGGGGGCUGCGCUUAAUACAGUCAGACUGGAGUGUGAGAGAGGGUUGUGGAAUUUCCAGUGUAGAGGUGAAAUUCGUAGAUAUUGGAAAGAACACCGGUGGCGAAGGCGGCAACCUGGCUCAUUACUGACGCUGAGGCGCGAAAGCGUGGGGAGCAAACAGGAUUAGAUACCCUGGUAGUCCACGCUGUAAACGAUGUGUGCUGGAUGUUAGGUAACCUAGUUACUUAGUGUCGUAGCUAACGCGGUAAGCACACCGCCUGGGGAGUACGGCCGCAAGGUUGAAACUCAAAGG